ensembl:lncRNA
CCCCCCUCCGCCCGCCGCGAGUCACUGGGGCAUCCGCCCCUCACUGGCCCCGAAAACAUUCAGAAUGGCCAGAAUCCCUAAGAGGGGCCAGCUGAAGAACCCAUCAGGACAAGGUCAGGGAAGGCAGCAGGACAAAUAGAUGGAACAGGGAGCAAGGUCAGGGAUGCCAUUGUGGAGAAGGAGACGCAUGUGGACAGAGAAUGGCUCUGGAGCUGUGGAGCCUGGUGCAGGAUCUGACUCAGAGACACUCCAUAAACCUUUCUCAAAGAAUAUAUGAAUGCGGCGUGAAAGUGAAGCUGCUGUUUCUGCAGCACAAGGCUGUGGUGAGGAGUCCAUGAAGAGGGGCCCACCAGGCCUCAGGGGCCACUCAUGCCAGGAAGGGGCAGUCAUCCUAGGAGGAGUGGUGCUAUCAGAAGCUACCUCAGGAGAAGAAGCUGAGGCAGGCUGUCCCUGGAGGGCAAGGUCCAAUGCCGGAGACACAAGGUUCAUCAGGGACUUUGCACUUGCCAGACAAGCACUGUGCCGCUAAGCUACAUCCUUGGCCCUUCAUCCAGAGUCAUCUGCUCUCUGCCAGGCACUGUCCUUGAUGCUGAAGACUCAAGGCCGCUUCACUACAGCCCAGUCCUAAGCAUCCGCCCAUCUCCCAGCAGCCCAGCCAGGUCUCCACUGUUGACCACGACAAGGUCAACAACAAGGUGUCCACCUAGCCUCAUGGGCGCAGGAGGCCUUGCUCUCCCCAAGCUCAAGGUGGCUGCAGUCAGUUCCCACCAGGUGACAGUGAUUGCCUUAGCAGCUGGUGGGCGCUCCCUGCCCCGGAGGCCGCCCACCUUGGGUGGGACACAAGGCAGCAGACAAUGGGAAGGAAUGAGAAUUCGUGAGGCCAGCAAGGGUGGCUGGUGAGAAGGGGGUGGAGGGCGUGGGGGCUGGGUGGAGGCCAGGGAUGCAAAGCAGGUGAGGGUGGGGAGUGCCU